UACGAAGGGGGCUAGCGUUGUUCGGAAUUACUGGGCGUAAAGCGCACGUAGGCGGACAUUUAAGUUGGAGGUGAAAGCCUUGGGCUCAACCCAAGAAUUGCCUUUGAUACUGGAUGUCUCGAGACCGGGAGAGGUGAGUGGAAUUCUGAGUGUAGAGGUGAAAUUCGUAGAUAUUCGGAAGAACACCAGUGGCGAAGGCGGCUCACUGGCCCGGUUCUGACGCUGAGGUGCGAAAGCGUGGGGAGCAAACAGG
rnacentral:rRNA from 1 species